rnacentral:rRNA from 1 species
CCUACGGGCGGCUGCAGUGGGGAAUAUUGGGCAAUGGACGCAAGUCUGACCCAGCAACGCCGCGUGAAGGAAGAAGGCUUUCGGGUUGUAAACUUCUUUUAAGGGGGAAGCGCAGAAGACGGUACCCCUUGAAUAAGCCACGGCUAACUACGUGCCAGCAGCCGCGGUCAUACGUAGGUGGCAAGCGUUGUCCGGAGUUACUGGGUGUAAAGGGCGUGUAGCCGGAGCGACAAGUCAGAUGUGAAAUCCACGGGCGCAACUCGUGAACUGCAUUUGACACUGUUUCCCUUGAGUGUCGGAGAGGUAAUCGGAAUUCCUGGUGUAGCGGUGAAAUGCGUAGAUAUAAGGAAGAACACCAGUGGCGAAGGCGGAUUACUGGACGAUAACUGACGGUGAGGCGCGAAAGCGUGGGGAGCAAACAGGAUUAGAGACCCUUGUAGUC